rnacentral:rRNA from 1 species
GACGUAGGGCGCGAGCGUUGUCCGGAUUUAUUGGGCGUAAAGAGCUCGUAGGCGGUUUGUCGCGUCGAAUGUGAAAACCCGGGGCUCAACCCCGGGCCUGCAUUCGAUACGGGCGGGCUAGAGUUCGGUAGGGAAGACUGGAAUUCCUGGUGUAGCGGUGAAAUGCGCAGAUAUCAGGAGGAACACCGAUUGCGAAGGCAGCUCGCUGGAACGUUACUGACGCUGAGACGCGAAAGCGUGGGGAGCAAACAGG